rnacentral:misc_RNA from 1 species
UCUUGAAAUGUUGAUGAUUUUUCAUGGCUACAUAUGUUUUCAAUGGUUCUGGUUUUCUCGUCUCUUUCAUUCCUGAAUUAUCUUCUGAAAUGAGAUGUCCUUUUUUUUUUAAGUAGAAACCAACGAAAGCAGGGAUGGGUUUUUUUCUUUAGACAUGUAAUUGCUUUAUCAUUGUUAAUGAAAUUUGAUGAGGUGUUCAUAAAUGGAAAUUGUGAUACAUUACUGAAAUGUUUGACUGUGUAAUUUGAACGUUGUACAUUUGAAGUUCAAAACACCAUUUUUUGUUCAUGUUCAUGAAGUUAAAAAAAAAAUCUUGUGUAUACUUGUCAUUUGCAAAUGAGAAACUCAUCAUUAAAAUCAUCAAUGAUUUGUAUUUUGACAUGAAAAAAAAAUCCCCAAUAUGUAACUGCCAAAUAAACUCAUUAGUCUGAUAAUUACGGUAUUUUUUUGGAAGUGCCAUUUUCACAACACACAAAAGGGGACUUCUUGAAAAAUCAAUUGCAGACUUCAAAGUUGGCCACAUCUUUUUAUGCCAGCUUUCUUUUCAGGGAAUUACCAUCAAUAUUUAAUUUUCAGAUUCACGUUGACAUUUUGUCCACAUUAUAAUUUAUUAAAGAGUUUGCUACAUGCACCAAAGAUGAAACAGACCGACUGAAUAAUAAACAGAAGUAAAAAAAAAAUACCGUAGAUGUCCUAUUUACCACUACUCUGCAUUUUAGAACCCAGUUGACCUCAUUUCUGCUAAGAAAUGUAUUGUCAAAAGACUAAUUUAAUAACAUUUUGGACUUCUUUUCAAUGAAUGUAAAAUUUAUGUCCGGGGUAGGAGGCGUCUUUCGUAUGAAAUUUGGACAAAUACGGUACUUAGCGAUUUGUUGCAGCAAAGUGUAACUUAUUUGCAAUAAAAAUCCAGAACAGAUAUGAAUUUGUAAAUGUAUUGAAUAAAGAUGUGAUAUAUU